UAUAUAUAAGACAUAAGCCCCAGAAGCCUCAGGUUCAAUCUGCAUCAUUUCUCUCUACAUAAUUUGAUUAAUCAAACAUUUGUUAGAAAUAUACUGCACUAAAGUAGAAUAUGAUUGGAUAUGAAGAUCUACCAAAGAUCUUGUGUUCUACUUCUUUUUGGUUAUUUAACACAUCUAUUAUUUUACUAUCACAGAAAACCAUAUAGUCGUAAAAG
rnacentral:misc_RNA from 1 species